GAUGAACGCUGGCGGCGUGCCUAAUACAUGCAAGUCGAGCGAACGGACGAGAAGCUUGCUUCUCUGAUGUUAGCGGCGGACGGGUGAGUAACACGUGGAUAACCUACCUAUAAGACUGGGAUAACUUCGGGAAACCGGAGUUAAUACCGGAUAAUAUUUUGAACCGCAUGGUUCAAAAGUGAAAGACGGUCUUGCUGUCACUUAUAGAUGGAUCCGCGCUGCAUUAGCUAGUUGGUAAGGUAACGGCUUACCAAGGCAACGAUGCAUAGCCGACCUGAGAGAGUGAUCGGCCACACUGGAACUGAGACACGGUCCAGACUCCUACGGGAGGCAGCAGUAGGGAAUCUUCCGCAAUGGGCGAAAGCCUGACGGAGCAACGCCGCGUGAGUUAUGAAGGUCUUCGGAUCGUAAAACUCUGUUAUUAGGGAAGAACAUAUGUGUAAGUAACUGUGCACAUCUUGACGGUACCUAAUCAGAAAGCCACGGCUAACUACGUG
rnacentral:rRNA from 1 species